AGAGUUUGAUCCUGGCUCAGGAUGCACGCUGGCGGCGUGCCUAAUACAUGCAAGUCGAACGCUUUGUGCUUAAUUGAUAUGAUGAGCUUGCUCUGAUUUGAUUUUUUGAUUUCAAAGAGUGGCGCACGGGUGAGUAACACGUGGGUAACCUACCUCUUAGCAGGGGAUAACAUUUGGAAACAAGUGCUAAUACCGUAUAAUACCAACAACCGCAUGGUUGUUGGUUGAAAGAUGGUUCUGCUAUCACUAAGAGAUGGACCCGCGGUGCAUUACCUAGUUGGUAAGGUAAUGGCUUACCAAGGCAAUGAUGCAUAGCCGAGUUGAGAGACUGAUCGGCCACAAUGGGACUGAGACACGGCCCAUACUCCUACGGGAGGCAGCAGUAGGGAAUCUUCCACAAUGGGCGCAAGCCUGAUGGAGCAACGCCGCGUGUGUGAUGAAGGGUUUCGGCUCGUAAAACACUGUUAUAAGAGAAGAACGGCACUGAGAGUAACUGUUCAGUGUGUGACGGUAUCUUACCAGAAAGGAACGGCUAAAUACGUGCCAGCAGCCGCGGUAAUACGUAUGUUCCAAGCGUUAUCCGGAUUUAUUGGGCGUAAAGCGAGCGCAGACGGUUAUUUAAGUCUGAAGUGAAAGCCCUCAGCUCAACUGAGGAAUUGCUUUGGAAACUGGAUGACUUGAGUGCAGUAGAGGAAAGUGGAACUCCAUGUGUAGCGGUGAAAUGCGUAGAUAUAUGGAAGAACACCAGUGGCGAAGGCGGCUUUCUGGACUGUAACUGACGUUGAGGCUCGAAAGUGUGGGUAGCAAACAGGAUUAGAUACCCUGGUAGUCCACACCGUAAACGAUGAGUGCUAGAUGUUCGAGGGUUUCCGC
rnacentral:rRNA from 1 species